rnacentral:rRNA from 1 species
AUGAAGCUGGAUUCGCUAGUAAUCGCGCAUCAGCCACGGCGCGGUGAAUACGUUCCCGGGCCUUGUACACACCGCCCGUCAAGCCAUGGAAGCCGGGGGGUGCCUGAAGUGCGCUGCCGCGAGGAGCGCCCUAGGGUAAAACCGGUGACUGGGGCUAAGUCGUAACAAGGUAUC